GAGAGAGAGAGAGAGAUAGAGAUGGAUAGAUAAUCAUAUUAUAAAGCCGAGAAAGCAAAAACAUUUUAUUUGGGUGCGGAGCUUCAAGGCAUGCGUAGAGUGUAAUCUUGUGAGUUUGUUUUCUGUGGGAGGCGGUGGGGUAAAGAAAUGCAAACACUAAUCCAGUGACACUCCUCCGUCCUUCAUGGUCUAUCACCGUCG
rnacentral:misc_RNA from 1 species